GAUCCCUCUGGGAUUUACCCAUUCUGGUGAAUUCCCUUCAGCAAAGCAGCAGGUUUGUAUCCACAGUUUAGCUUCUCAUCUGCUAAUGUCUUUCAUUCUGCUGUGCUGGUGGUUUUGGGGUGCUCCCAUUGCCUUUCUGGAUGUUGGUACAGAUACUCAGCAAGGAACUCAUGCACUGACAUGAGCUUUUUUUUUUCCUCAGCCUUUUUCUGACUGAAGAGGAUGAAGGAAAACAAGAGCUUUGCAACAACCCCCUAUCACUGCUGUGCAAUCCCAAUUCAAGCCUUUCGUGGCUCUGGGAAAGUGGCAGGAGCUCUGCUUGACACCAUUAACCUUGACUGUCAGGGUUCUUUGUGGGUAUGAAGGGUUACAGUCCUUUUACUGACCUGUCCUGCUUCUGAGGAUAACCAAGCUGCCAGCAGCACUGCACAGAGGGGUAUUUAUGUUCUCCCAUGGCAACACAGAUGUGCUGGUCACGAAACACCUACAGAUGACAUCCUGAAACUGCUAGCCUUGAAAAUGGCUGUGAACUCCAUAUCGUGAUGAUUUUCAGCGCUGUUUUCCAGAACAUUCAAAGUUACUACUGCUCUUUGACUUCAAAUGUUUUGGAUGCCAGUAUUGGACAUCACGCCUCAGGGGAAGAGACUUCACCUACUUACCUUGCCCCAUGGAACAGAGAAAGAGGUAACUUUGGAGUAAUCCCCCAGUUCCUCAUCCUGAGAGCUUCACAUUAGCCAACAAGUCUGGGUACAAGUUGGUAUCUACUUUGCUCACACCAGUCCUACCAGACGUCAGAGUAUCCAGAGCCAGAACUUUGUUUCCUGACCAUCUCCAGCUGUUAUUGCACCUCCUGGCAUGGGAAACAGGUCAGUAAUUGCUCACAUGUUCAUUCAGCCUCUGCAGUGUGAAAUAUGAAUGGGAAACCAAAACAAACCCCCAAACCCCUGCAAGCAGAAAUUGUUGUAGAAAGAUUGAUGUCUGCAAACCAGUGCUACCUUCGAGGAACGCAGCAAGAGGCAGCCAAAGGCACCAUCUGUUUGUGGUGGAACAUGUAAAUUUAUAUCUAUUUCUGAAUUCUUGAGUUAUGAAACUGCAAAUGUCUCAGCUGUAGUGUGCACAGCACAUGGAGCAGCAUGGGGAGCCACUGUGCAUUUGAUCCCAGGGCACACGGAGCGCCUGCUCGCAUCGCAGCAAAAU
rnacentral:lncRNA from 1 species